rnacentral:rRNA from 1 species
UACAGAGGGGGCGAGCGUUGUUCGGAAUUACUGGGCGUAAAGGGCGCGUAGGCGGCCAACUAAGUCGGACGUGAAAUCCCCCAGGCUCAACCUGGGAACUGCGUCCGAUACUGGAUGGCUUGAAUCCGGGAGGAGGGAUGCAGAAUUCCAGGUGUAGCGGUGAAAUGCGUAGAUAUCUGGAGGAAUACCCGGUGGCGAAGGCGGCAUCCUGGACCGGCAUUGACGCUGAGGAGGCGAAAAGCCCAGGGGGAGCCAA